GAGGGUAUAGCUCUGUGGUAAAGCCCAUGCCUAGCAUGCAUGAGGUCCUGGGUUCAAUUUCUAGUACCGCUA
rnacentral:tRNA from 1 species